UACGGAGGGUGCAAGCGUUAUCCGGAUUCACUGGGUUUAAAGGGUGCGUAGGUGGGUCUGUAAGUCCGUGGUGAAAUCUCCGAGCUUAACUUGGAAACUGCCAUGGAUACUAUAGAUCUUGAAUAUUGUGGAGGUCAGCGGAAUAUGUCAUGUAGCGGUGAAAUGCUUAGAUAUGACAUAGAACACCAAUUGCGAAGGCAGCUGGCUACGCAUAUAUUGACACUGAGGCACGAAAGCGUGGGGAUCAAACAGG
rnacentral:rRNA from 1 species